GCCUCUGUACCUCAGUGACAGAGCACUGGUCGUAUCAACCAGGGGUCGUGAGUUCAAUCCUCAUAGGAGGCA
rnacentral:tRNA from 1 species